CCGGGAGUUAGUGCAUGUCGCCCAAAAGUGUGCAGCGGUUUUUGGACAACGACAUGCAUAAAAACAAUGACCUAAAGCGCGUCGCAUGAGUCCGAUUGAACGCAACGCGCUUUAGGGCAAUUUAUGCAUCGAUCCGAAGCGCUUGCAACAUGUACUUGCGC
rnacentral:ncRNA from 1 species